AGAAAGGCUGUGGUCUUGGGAUAUGUUUCCAUUACAAUAAACACAACAAAUGUACAUGGCUAACAAAGUAAAAGGACUACGGUUUUAUGUGGGAGGACUGCAGGCCAUCAGGAUGGGAUCUGAGCCACUGCGCUCCAGGGAGAGACUGCCACCGCCCAGCACACACAUGCCCAGGACACAGAUAGAGCCGCCGGUCAGCAGAAGAAAGGAUGCUGGAGAAAUUGCCAGCCUGCUGCUUGUGUCUGAUUAACCUUUCCCCUGAACCCCAAACCCCUUACCUACACUAUGUUUCUCCUUAUAAAAAUGGUCAGCUUGAAAUAAAGUGAAGACAGAAGACAUUCUUUUAACUCACACCACUUGCCGUCCUCUCAGAUCGCCAGCAUCUGAGUAAAGCGCCUAUAAAGAU